rnacentral:ncRNA from 1 species
UAGCGUCAAGCUAGUAAGAUCCCUGAAAGAUGAUCAGGUUGAUAGGUCAGAGGUGGAAGCGUGGCGACAUGUGGAGCUGACUGAUACUAAUCGAUCGAGGACUUAACCAA